rfam:Cycloclasticus sp. symbiont of Bathymodiolus heckerae isolate specimen P Ga0097674_1116, whole genome shotgun sequence.
GGGGCCAUAGCUCAGCUGGGAGAGCACCUGCUUUGCAAGCAGGGGGUCGACGGUUCGAUCCCGUCUGGCUCCA